rnacentral:rRNA from 1 species
CGAAGGACGAACGCUGGCGGCGUGCUUAACACAUGCAAGUCGAACGGUGAACCAGAGCUUGCUCUGGGGAUCAGUGGCGAACGGGUGAGUAACACGUGGGCAACCUGCCCCAGACUCUGGGAUAACUCCGGGAAACCGGAGCUAAUACCGGAUACGACUACUUCGGACAUCCGACGGUAGUGGAAAGUUUUUCGGUCUGGGAUGGGCCCGCGGCCUAUCAGCUAGUUGGUGGGGUAAUGGCCUACCAAGGCGACGACGGGUAGCCGGCCUGAGGGGGCGACCGGCCACACUGGAACUGAGACACGGUCCAGACUCCUACGGGAGGCAGCAGUGGGGAAUAUUGCACAAUGGGCGAAAGCCUGAUGCAGCGACGCCGCGUGAGGGACGACGGCCUUCGGGUUGUAAACCUCUUUCAGCAGGGACGAAGCGAAAGUGACUGUACCUGCAGAAGAAGCACCGGCUAACUACGUG